rnacentral:rRNA from 1 species
UACGUAGGGUGCAAGCGUUGUCCGGAAUUCUUGGGCGUAAAGAGCUCGUAGGCGGUCUGUCGCGUCGGCUGUGAAAACCCGGGGCUCAACCCCGGGCCUGCAGUCGAUACGGGCAGACUAGAGUGCGGUAGGGGAGACUGGAAUUCCUGGUGUAGCGGUGAAAUGCGCAGAUAUCAGGAGGAACACCGGUGGCGAAGGCGGGUCUCUGGGCCGUAACUGACGCUGAGGAGCGAAAGCGUGGGGAGCGAACAGG